AAAAGGGGGGCCGGGGGGAGGUCAAGCCUCUAAUACAAACGGCUCGAUCCUCCAGAUACGGGAGGCGUCCGCUUCAAACAAGAUCACAGAUGGGCAACAAGGAGGUGUGUUAUUUUAAAAGAACUAAAUCUUUCAGUUGCCGUGGGUAGCACUCGGGCUGCCUGCGGCUGAAAAGCAGGUGAUGGAGGUUUCAUUUGGAACCGGAAGGGCUUCCAAUAGGUACUUCUCCCUAAUCACUUCUUACAGAGAGUUUAAAAUGAAGGACACUUAAUCAUCCUCUUACUUUAUGUUCUUUUAAUCA